ACUUCACCUUCCCGUAUUUUCUUCGAUCUCAUCUCCCUAGUCUCCUUAGAGAUUAAAAAAAUUCUCCCCUGACACGCCGCCGCACACAUCUCCCCUGUAUCCAUGCUCCGCCGUCCGAAUCCGGCUGCCGCGCCCGUCUCGCUCGCCGUGGCCGAUGAUCGCGUCGCCCGGGAUCGCGUCCCUCCUCAAACGGCGGCGAUGAUGCAGAGCGCCGCCCAGCUCUUGACCGACGGACUCGCCGGGUUCCCGCUCCUUGGGGCCAGCCCCUCCCCCAUGCCGGAUCGCGCAUCGGCUUGGAGGCCCCUCGGGGCUGCCGCCGGUGCGGGAGUCUUGCGUGGCCGUUCGGGCUUGGGGACGGAGCGGCAGGGCCCGUGGUGCGUUCUUGUCGAGGGCUUGCUCGGGCUGGCCGGGAUCUGAGCCGCCGUCAAUGGGUUUCUCGCAGCUUGGCUGCCUGCUUCGGAUUUGGUACUAUCCCCAUCUCUCUCUCCCUCUCCCUCGGUGUGGACGCGCGCACCUAAACCGAAUCAGGCGAGCGCAAGCUACCGGAUCACUGAACCAUCGUCCCGGUGGCCACCGUGCCAGUUCCACACCAGUACUGCGACGCCAACCACCGCCACUCCAUUGGCUUGGAUUUGGCUGUGGCGUGGGCUGGAAUCGUAUGGUGUUGUCUGAUGCGUGUUCCGCACUGGAAGGUUUGGUCGGCUGACGCCAGGUAUGAGCAGUUCCUGAGCCUGAUCGCUGGAUAUGGGCACGCAUGCAUGUAUAUAAUGGGUAUCAUGGUCAUGUUGCUUGGACGGGGGGAGAUGAUGAUGAUUGUGGCUGAAAUAAUCAUGUCUUGAGCAAUCAAGACAGCCGUGGUGGUGGGUACUAAGAGCAACGGAAGUAAAAGGUCCAGAACUGAUAAACAUAUAUGUUGGAGAAUCGGAGAAGAAUAUCAGGGACAUCUUUCAGAUGUUUCAGGCUUGAUCAGCAUGCCCAUGAGUAAUUUUCUUCGAUGAGCUUGAUUCCCUUGCUCCUGCACGAGGGUCGUCUGCAGCUUCUCGAGAUGUUAUGGAUAUAGUGGUUUCUCAGGUAUAAUUAACCUCAUAAACGAGGUGGUGACUGUGUCUCAGUUUUCCCUCUUAUUUUCAAUGUUUAAAUGUUAGAGUAAACUAAUUCAAUUUCCCCUUCUCUCUCUUUACUAGCACAAAUGCCUGACGGAGAUGCAUAUAUAUGUUUGGCAUUCUAUCAGUAACAUACACUUGUGCUAGCUUGCAGUACUACAUUUUGUGGUGCGUAUGUAUGGCUAUGCUUUUGAUUAUUUCCCCUGUACAUUGACUUGAUAAAGUAUAGAGCCUGAUGAGCAACGAUGCUGUAACAGAAGAAUUUUUAUCCUAAUGGGAAUUUUCAAUAAGAUAUACCAUCUCGAUGCUCAUAGUUUCUUCAGCAUAUAUAGUCUCUACUAUGUAUUCUCUGGGCAACCAUGUUAAUUGUGCAAGAGCCAUUAAAUAUAUAUUUAUACUUGCAUAUAAAUAAUUCCUUUUACUGUUGCUUGGUGAUUGUGUCUCUCGUAGCCAAUUCCUAGAAGACUUGAACGUAUGGUAACAUUAAAUGAAUAAUCCAAGUUCUUUUUCUAUUCUGGCUACAGUAGACUAUCCUGCCUUUUAGUAAUUAUAGAAUUACUAAGUUCAUGUUGACUAAGGACCAAUUCCGGAUGCUUGCCAAUUGUUAGAAUUUCAUCGCUCUUCAUUUUGUCUAGCAUUUGCUGUGUCCUCUAGCUUUUAUAUAGCUUUCUGGCUAUAAACUACAUGCACUUUGCAGUAAAUUAUUUCUUUAGAUUAAUCUAUCAAUGUUGUAUAUACAUUGUUGGCAUAAAUUGAUUCCCAGUCUUGUGCCUAACUUCCGGCAGAAAGACUGGUCCUAAAUCCGAAAUUCGUUGAUGGACUUAGAGCAAUCCGUUGCGACACAAUCUUGAAUGAAGUUAUUUUUUGUUCAAAUUAUGAUUAUAUAAAUUAUAAAUAGCUAAUAUGACCUAUUCAUGGUUGGGUAGGUUUCUAUCAGUCAUUAUUUGUCUUCUUUACCGUAAAAAAAUUCUCUUCUCUAUUAUGUUGAGGUAAAUGCAGCUGCUGGUCAUACUUUAUCAAUAUAGGCGGAUGAAGCAGAUUAUGAAGAAAAUGAACCUGAAGAUGGUUUCUUAGAAUGAGAAUCUGAUUAACAUUCUCUCCAAGAAUGAAGGCAAAUUGUUUGUAUGUCAUUAACCCUUUCAUGUGAAGAUUUUCAGAAUCAUAAAAGAUAAUAUUCAGGUACAUGUACGUCUGGUCGAACGCAAUCACAUUCCGAAAUAGCAACUCGCUGGAGUCGUUGAGCUCCAGCUGUGGGAUCUCCAACACGCCAUAGGCGAAGUUCAAGUCUAUGAAGCUCAUCACCAUCUCUAAAAUUCCAGUGACCCGUGUUCCAGCUAUUUUUUUAGGUACAGGCGGAUAGGCUUCAUGUUCAGGAAUUUGACACACGCGGUGGAGACUUAAUGGGGAGAACCCAUGACUAAUUACUUUUUCUUAGGGAACAUCGUGAUUAA